rnacentral:rRNA from 1 species
UACGGAGGGUGCAAGCGUUAUCCGGAUUCACUGGGUUUAAAGGGUGCGUAGGUUGAUUGGUAAGUCAGUGGUGAAAUACUCCGACUCAAUCGGAGAACUGCCGUUGAUACUAUCAAUCUUGAAUACGGUGGAGGCGGGCGGAAUGCGUCAUGUAGUGGUGUAAUACUUAGAUAUGACGCAGAACACCCAUUGCGAAGGCAGCUCGCUACACCGGCAUUGACACUGAGGCACGAAAGCGUGGGGAUCAAACAGG